UACGAAGGGGGCUAGCGUUGCUCGGAAUCACUGGGCGUAAAGGGUGCGUAGGCGGGUCUUUUAAGUCAGGGGUGAAAUCCUGGAGCUCAACUCCAGAACUGCCUUUGAUACUGAGGAUCUUGAGUUCGGGAGAGGUGAGUGGAACUGCGAGUGUAGAGGUGAAAUUCGUAGAUAUCAGGAGGAACACCCGUGGCGAAAGCGGCUCUCUGGGACGGUACUGACGCUGAGACGCGAAAAGCGUGGGGGAGCAAACAGG
rnacentral:rRNA from 1 species